UAUUAAAUAUUAAAUUAAAGUAAAGUGAUUCUUUUAAAACUUUUUAAAUACUUAAAGUUUUUCAUGAAAAUGCAAUUUAAUAUUUUUAUUGGAAUAUGUAUUAUACAUAUUUCCAACCUUACUUUAGUCAUUGUCGAAGCAAUCAUUUCAAAUAAUGAAAGACAGAGUACUGUAAAAAACGAUAACCAAAAAAAUGUAAUUAUGUAUUUAUAGUAAUUAAGGGAUUAACUUUUAAUGUAAACACAACUUUCAAUCUGUUGAGUAAUUUUGCUGAAACAUUAAUGAAGCUGAUUUUUCGACUGAAUUGAAAGAGUGCAUAAAAUUGCUUAGUUCUAAUGUAGUUACUCUUGAAGUUUUCAAAGCUGUUUCAAAAAAAUUGACUAAUGAUAUUGUGAAACCAUUGAAAGACAUCAAAAAUUUACAAUUGGUAAAUAAACAUGAAGUGUAUAAUUUUGCUGAUCAAAUUGGAAAUCGAAAUCCCGAAUACAUUAGAGAUGUGUCGUUGUAUUAUUUCCUCGAUUUAGAUGAUCCAUACAUAAAAUUAGAUAAUGCGCGCGAUUUCUUAGUUCAUAUUAAUUGUAAAAUUGUACGUAAUUUGGACAACACGAUUACCGUUUGGGCUUAUUCUCAUCAAAAAAAACGCACCAGCAAUUUUAAAAGGAAAUUGCUCCAAAUGCACAGAGAACGAAAUUAAACAGACUAAACGCGUUUUGUCGCACAUAGAGAAGAACUACCCCAAAGAGUACGCAAGAUUACUUAAACAAUACGACGG